rnacentral:rRNA from 1 species
GAGGGGUGCAAGCGUUAUUCGGAAUUACUGGGCGUAAAGAGCGUGUAGGCGGCUUGUUAAGUUAAUUGUUAAAGACCUUGGCUCAACCAGGGACCGGCAAUUGAUACUGGCUAGCUAGAGGGCAAGAGAGAGAAGUGGAAUUCUCGGAGUAGCGGUAAAAUGCGUAGAUCUCGAGAGGAACACCGGUUGCGAAGGCGGCUUCUUGGCUUGUACCUGACGCUAAAGCGCGAAAGCGUGGGGAGCAAACAGGAUUAGAUACCCUGGUAGUCCACGCCGUAAACGAUGAUCACUAGGUGUUGGUCCCGGCUUAGCUGGAUCAGUGUCGUAGCUAACGCGUUAAGUGAUCCGCCUGGGGAGUACGGUCGCAAGAUUA